rnacentral:tRNA from 1 species
GAGGGAGUAGCUCAGUGGUUAGAGUACCUGCUUAGCAUUCAGGGGGUCCUGGGUUCAAUCCCCAAGUACCUCCA